UACAGAGGGUGCGAGCGUUAAUCGGAAUUACUGGGCGUAAAGCGCGCGUAGGCGGCUUGGCAAGCCGGAUGUGAAAUCCCCGGGCUUAACCUGGGAACUGCAUUCGGGACUGCAUUGCUAGAGUAUGGGAGAGGGAAGCGGAAUUUCCGGUGUAGCGGUGAAAUGCGUAGAUAUCGGAAGGAACAUCAGUGGCGAAAGCGGCUUCCUGGACCAGCACCGACGUUCAGGCACGAAAGCGUGGGGAGCAAACAGG
rnacentral:rRNA from 1 species